CUCGUUUUUCAUCGUUCGAUUUUACUAUUUACUGCUUGAUUUUAUUACAUCUACAACCCUUUUGCCAGGUGACUGCCACUGGGCCCAUGUAAUUACUGAUCCACGCGGCAGUGAAGCGCUCGAUCGACUGAGUCCGUAGCAAACGACGCUCCCGGUGAAAAAAACCCUAGAUCGAGAGGUAAAAAGAGAUCGCCUCCUCCUCACUCCUCCCACACCCAGCGGCGCCUCCUCCCUCCUCCCACGACCUCCUUCCAUGGCCGCACCUCACUGCCUUGACACCACCUCCUCCCCUUCUCGGCAGCGCCUCCUUCCUCCUCCCAGGACCUCCUUUCAUGGCGGUGCCCCGACCUAACCGAUCUUCCUCGUCUUCAGUCAAGGACCCGAUCGGCUGGAGCAGUUGGAGAGUAGUGACUGAUGCCGGCCAGAGAAGGCAGGGAGCAGCGGACGCCAGAGAGGGAGGCGGCUCGUCGUGGACCGGCCAUGGCGCUGGCGCUGCUGACUCCCACCGGCCUCCUUCGUCUCCCAGCCACAGCCUGCUCCAACCCCUCCCUCUGAUGUGGUGUGGUGGGAGAAGGAAGAAGAGCAGGAAGGCAGGGAGCAGCGGAUGCCAGAGAGGGAGGCGACUCGGCGUGGACCGGCCAUGGCGCUGGCGCUGCUGACUCCCACCGGCCUCCUUCGUCUCCCAAACACAGCCUGCUCCAACCCCUCCUAUGAUGUGGUGUGGUGGGAGAAGGAAGAAGAGCAGGCAUGCUCUCUGUCUACAUCCAGCGCCACACGGCUAGAUCGACGGGUCUAAACUAUGGGUACCAUUCUAUCUCAGAUGUAGUACAUUGUGUGUAUGAAUCAUGGUGAAUGUCAAGCCUACUUAGGUCAUACCCAAGUAAGAAUACAGAAAGAAUAAGCUUAGAAUCUGCUGCGCUGUGCAUGGCUGUUGAAGUUCAGCAUUGCUAUGAUGUGUAUGGUUUCUCUGUUUUCCUCAUAUCGCCCUAUUCCCAAUUUUACAAACUGCUAUGUGACGCACAGUGGCCACGCCACACACUGGUGAGAUUCAAGGUGCAGUCGAGCAAGAGUCAGUUCGAGGUGAGGCGUGUCACGUCGAUCUCCUGCUGCUCACCAGUGAGGCUCGCUGACAAACGGCCAGAUCCACACGAGGUGGAUGUCACACACACGGCACUCUCCCCUCGAUCCUUUCUCUUUCCUACAACUACUAUGUCUUGUACCUUGUUAUAUUGCUCUUUCAUCCAUGGGGAUAAAGAUGUUAACUCAGUUUGAUAAUGGAGUCACAGAUUUGUAUCUGAUAAUUCUUGAAAAUCAGAUUGAAACAUCCAUACUAAUUUGUUGGUUUGUCUCAACCAGUAAUUCAAUGUAAACCUAUUAACAUGAA